rnacentral:rRNA from 1 species
GAUAAACGCUGGCGGCGUGCUUAACACAUGCAAGUCGAACGAAGUUUUUCCUUCGGGAGCAACUUAGUGGCGGACGGGUGAGUAACGCGUGGGUAACCUGCCCUGUACAGGGGGACAACAGCUGGAAACGGCUGCUAAUACCGCAUAAGCCCUUAGCACUGCAUGGUGCAUAGGGAAAAGGAGCAAUCCGGUACAGGAUGGACCCGCGUCUGAUUAGCCAGUUGGCAGGGUAACGGCCUACCAAAGCGACGAUCAGUAGCCGAUCUGAGAGGAUGUACGGCCACAUUGGGACUGAGACACGGCCCAGACUCCUACGGGAGGCAGCAGUGGGGAAUAUUGCACAAUGGAGGAAACUCUGAUGCAGCGACGCCGCGUGAGUGAAGAAGUAUUUCGGUAUGUAAAGCUCUAUCAGCAGGGAAGAAAAUGACGGUACCUGACGAAGAAGCACCGGCUAAAUACGUG